rnacentral:rRNA from 1 species
GUGAGGAAUUUUCCGCAAUGGGCGAAAGCCUGACGGAGCAAUGCCGCGUGAAGGAUGAAGGCCUAUGGGUUGUAAACUUCUUUUCUUAGAGAAGAAUAUUGACGGUAUCUGAGGAAUAAGCAUCGGCUAACUCUGUGCCAGCAGCCGCGGUAAUACGAAGGGGGCGAGCGUUAUUCGGAAUCACUGGGCGUAAAGCGUGCGUAGGCGGUUUUGUAAGUUAGGAGUGAACGCCCAGGGCUCAACCUUGGAAUUGCUCUUAAAACUGCAAGGCUCGAAUCUCGGAGAGUAUAGCGGAAUUUCCAGUGUAGCAGUGAAAUGCGUAGAUAUUGGAAGGAACACCAGUGGCGUAAGCGGCUAUCUGGACGAGUAUUGACGCUGAGGCACGAAAGCGUGGGGAUCAAACAGGAUUAGAUACCCUUGUAGUCC